AUACGGAGGGAGCAAGCGUUAUUCGGAAUCACUGGGCGUAAAGGACGCGUAGGCGGGUUUGUAAGUCAGGUGUGAAAUCCUACAGCUCAACUGUAGAACUGCACUUGAAACUACAGACCUAGAGUAUGGAUGGGGCAGAUGGAAUUAGUGGUGUAGGGGUAAAAUCCGUAGAUAUCACUAGGAAUACCGAAAGCGAAGGCGAUCUGCUGGGACAUUACUGACGCUGAGGCGUGAAAGCGUGGGGAGCAAACAGGAUUAGAAACCCCAGUAGUCC
rnacentral:rRNA from 1 species